AUUGAACGCUGGCGGCAUGCCUUACACAUGCAAGUCGAACGGCAGCACGGGUGCUUGCACCUGGUGGCGAGUGGCGAACGGGUGAGUAAUACAUCGGAACAUGUCCUGUAGUGGGGGAUAGCCCGGCGAAAGCCGGAUUAAUACCGCAUACGAUCUACGGAUGAAAGCGGGGGGCCUGCGGGCCUCGCGCGAUAGGGGUGGCCGAUGGCUGAUUAGCUAGUUGGUGGGGUAAAGGGCUACCAAGGCGACGAUCCGUAUCUGGUCUGAGAGGACGACAAGCCACACUGGGACUGAGACACGGCCCAGACUCCUACGGGAGGCAGCAGUGGGGAAUUUUGGACAAUGGGCGAAAGCCUGAUCCAGCAAUGCCGCGUGUGUGAAGAAGGCCUUCGGGUUGUAAAGCACUUUUGUCCGGAAAGAAAUCCUUGGCCCUAAUACGGUCGGGGGAUGACGGUACCGGAAGAAUAAGCACCGGCUAACUACGUG
rnacentral:rRNA from 1 species